UCCACGAAACGAAAUCACUGCCUGCUCACAUACGUAGACGCGAGCUACACAACGGUCACACGGGUCGGCGCCUCGGAGAAACGAACGCGGGCGAAUCCACCGGUUAAAUGAGCCUCAGCCAAUCAUGAUCGAGAAGGGUCACGUGGGAGACUGGAGCCAAUGGAAAGUAAAUAACCGGAAUUUGGCGGGAAAUGCCAGCGGCGACGGCGGCGACACGCGACACUAUUUUCGCCAGAGGAGGCACAGUAAGCCGGUUUCGCCGCCGCGAAAAUAGUGUCGCCGCUGGCAUUCUCUGAGGCGCCGACCCGUCUGACCGUUGUGUAGCUCGCGUCUGCGUAUGUGAGCAGGCGGUGAUUUCGUUUCGUGGAUUUCGAAGAUCUUCGAGCCAUGGAUGAACGCCUGAAUGAAAGACACCGACAGCUGUUCGUGGCCCUGCGAUCCGCGAGCAUGUGGCCCCUGUCACCAGAAAAUUCGACAGUUGUGCUGGGAUGAAGCGGAUGGCUUCUGCGACUCAUCACGUGCUAUAGAUAUGUAUAAUAAUAUCUACUUUCUCCAAACCGAAUAGGUUCCCUUAAGGAUUGUAUAAUAUGAUAGUCACGCUUUCUGUUGCUCGGCGCUAUUUAUUCUCUGUUUAUUCUGCAGUAUUCUGUAAUAAUCGUGUAGAUUUACUUGCAUUCAAAUGUUGCUUCUUGUGUAUAUGUUUACCGUGUCAAUAAAUUUGUACAUGUGAA